GCACAAGCGGUGGAUGAUGUGGAUUAAUUCGAUGCAACGCGAAAAACCUUACCUACCCUUGACAUGUCUGGAACCUUGGUGAGAGCCGAGGGUGCCUUCGGGAGCCAGAACACAGGUGCUGCAUGGCUGUCGUCAGCUCGUGUCGUGAGAUGUUGGGUUAAGUCCCGCAACGAGCGCAACCCUUGUCCUUAGUUGCCACCAUUCAGUUGGGCACUCUAAGGAGACUGCCGGUGUUAAACCGGAGGAAGGUGGGGAUGACGUCAAGUCCUCAUGGCCCUUAUAUCCAGGGCUACACACGUGCUACAAUGGCCGGUACAAAGGGUCGCAAUACCGCGAGGGGGAGCUAAUCCCAUAAAGCCAGUCGUAGUCCGGAUCGUAGUCUGCAACUCGACUACGUGAAGUCGGAAUCGCUAGUAAUCGUGGAUCAGAAUGUCACGGUGAAUACGUUCCCGGGUCUU
rnacentral:rRNA from 1 species